CCCUCCCUCCUCUCCCUCUGUAAAUUCCUUUCCUUCACUUCAGAUCCUAAAUACUCGUUUCUCUCUAGAUCCAACCCUCUGGAAUUCAAUUGUAUUCAAUUUCGUCCUUUUUCAUGCCUUCCAUCAGAUUCUUAAAUCCCUAGAUACACUGCUAGCAAAGCCAUGGAUUCUCUUCCUUCCUUCAAUUCCAAUUCCCCUCUCAAAAAAUCACUAUCUGAUACCACAAAUAUCCAAAAUCUCUCCUCCAUCCUCAACAACCCUCACUCCUUCAAAUCCACCGAUCCCUCCGCCUGGCUCGGCUGGUGGUCCUCCUCCACCACUCUAGCUCCUCCUGAUUUCUCCCCCAUACUCCCCAAACAACCGCCACCUGAUGUUUCCCGAUCGGAUUUCCUCCCCUACUUAUCAGCUGUCUCCGACACCUACUCCCGCUUCGAAGACAUCAAAAACCACACUAAAAAUAACGACCUUGAUCAAGAAUCGAAGUCGGAUUUGGCGGAUGCGGAGUCCAAUUCGGAUUUGGCUGCUGUAGGGCAAGGGGAGGCGCUGGUUGCUUGUUUGAGGGAAGUUCCGGCACUGUAUUUUAAAGAGGAUUUUGCGUUGGAAGACGGGCCCACCUUUCAUGCCGCGUGUCCGUUUAGCAAUGCGGCGGCGAAUUUGAUGUUGCAGGAGAAGUUGAGUCAGUAUUUGGAUGUGGUGGAGUUGCAUUUGGUGAAGGAGAUAUCGUUGCGGUCGAAUUCGUUUUUCGAGGCGCAAGGGCAGUUGGAGGAUUUGAAUGGGAAGAUUGUGGAAGGGUGUGAGAGGAUCAGGGAGUUGAAGGAGACUAUUAGGGUUUUGGAUAAGGAUUUGGUGGAGUCUGCGAGGGAGAUUCAUGAACUGAAUGUUAGUAGAGGGGAUUUGGUUUCUUUGCAGAAUAAGUUGAGGCUUAUUUUGUAUGUUAAUCAGGCUCUCUCCACGCUUAAAUUGCUUGUUGCAUCUGCAGAUUGUGCUGGAGCAUUGGAUGUUACUGAUGAUUUGCAGCAGUUCUUGGAUGGAGAUGAGCUGACUGGUCUGCAUUGUUUUCGUCACCUUCGGGAUCAUGUGGCAGCUGCAAUAGAGUCCAUAAACAGCAUCCUUUCAGCAGAAUUUAUGCGAGCUUCAAUACAUGGUGCUGGGGAUAAAGAUUUGCUUCUUUUAUCCAAAGCAAAAGUCAGGGAUUCCAUAUAUAUGAAUGGAAUAGAUGAAGAACAGGUUAAGUUGGAUGAUGAAGAGAUGUCCAAUUUUCGAGAUCGUCUUCUUCCUCUCAUUGUUGGGUUACUUAGAACUGCCAAGCUCCCCCCUGUGUUGAGAAUAUACCGAGAUACCCUUACAGCCAGUAUGAAAACCACCAUUAAGAAUGCAGUUGCAGAGCUGCUUCCUACCUUUUCAGCCCAAUCUCUGGAGUCAGAUCUCACACCUGCAGAGCGAACAGCAGAUACAGAUGGUGGAGGUUUAUCACUUGCAAGCAAGUUAAGGAGCUUGUCAUCCGAAAAUUUUGUGCUACUUUUAAAUGCUAUUUUCAACAUUGUACAGGCACACUUAGUGCGGGCUGCUGAAGUGAAAAAGGCAAUUGAGUGGAUUAUGUGUAGCGUUGACGGACACUAUGCUGCUGAUUCAGUUGCUGCUGCAAUUGCUGUUGGUGCAGCAGCUGCUGAAACAGCUCAUGAGAGUGAUGGUCUAGGUGGUUCUCUUCUCCCCUUUUCUCCACAGAGAAGUACUUCCAAGUUUGCUUCAUCUCAGCUGAAAGCAAAUGAUGCAGCAAGUCCCUCAAAUAUUUCAAGAAAUUUUAGAGCCGAUGUAUUGAGAGAGAAUGCAGAAGCUGUCUUUGCUGCUUGUGAUGCUGCUCAUGGAAGAUGGGCAAAGCUUCUUGGUGUCCGUGCUCUUCUUCAUCCGAAGUUGAGAUUGGUGGAGUUUUUAAGCAUAUACAACAUCACCCAAGAUUUUAUAACUGCCACUGAAAAGAUUGGUGGAAGGUUGGGUUAUAGCAUUCGUGGAACAAUGCAAUCACAGGCUAAAGCUUUUGUUGAUUUCCAGCAUGAAAUGCGAAUGACAAAAAUUAGGGCAGUGCUCGAUCAGGAGAUGUGGGUGGAAGUAGAUGUCCCUGAUGAAUUUCAGGCCAUUGUUGCUUCAUUGUUUUAUUCUGAAUGUGAGGGCCUAAAUGAUACUCAAGGUGAUGUGACAACCAGAUAUGGUGAAGCGGGCACAGGCAGUGAUGGUUCACUUGUGAUUGAUGCUGAAGCACAAAAUGCUGAACAAGAACUUGUGCAAAUGAACUCUACAGAUAUAUCUUUGGAAAAUUCUGUGCAAAAGAAAUCUACUCCCUCAACAGGGGCAACUGGAAGCAAUAAAGUCACAGCUGCAACUUCAUCAGCUCAGAGUAACAAUCAUAAUGUGAAGGAGCGUGGAAAAUCUACUUCCCAAACACUUUCUUGUGGAGGUGUUGGUUAUCACAUGGUAAACUGUGGCUUAAUAUUGCUGAAGAUGUUGUCAGAGUACAUGGAUAUGAAUACUUUUUUGCCAUCACUAUCUUCAGAAGUUGUUCAUCGUGUCGUGGAGAUCUUAAAAUUCUUCAAUACAAGGACUUGCCAGCUUAUUCUUGGAGCUGGUGCCAUGCAGGUGUCGGGUCUGAAGUCUAUUACAUCUAAGCACUUGGCCCUUGCUAGUCAAGUCAUCGGUUUUGUACAUGCCAUUAUUCCUGAAAUCAGGCGAGUUCUUUUCCUUAAAGUACCUGAAGCACGGAAAGUAUUACUGUUGUCAGAGAUUGAUCGAGUAGCACAGGAUUACAAGGUUCAUCAAGAGGAGAUACUUACAAAGCUGGUUCAGAUAAUGAGGGAAAGGUUGCUGCAUCAUCUACGUAAUCUGCCUCAAAUUGUUGAGAGCUGGAAUAGACCUGUAGAUACCGAUUCACAGCCUAGUCCUUUUGCUCUAACGCUUGUAAAGGAGGUUACCUAUCUUCAACGUAUCUUAUCUAGAACUUUACAUGAAGCAGAUAUCCAAGCAAUUUUCAGGCAAGUGGUCACAAUCUUUCAUAAAGAAAUUUCAGAAGCAUUCUCACGGAUAGAGAUCAGCAGUCAGCAAGCAAAGUUCAGGCUUCAUCGGGAUAUCACACUUAUCCUUGGAUGCAUCAGAUCAUUACCUUCUGGUAACUUGAGUGAAUCUGGUACCCCAAAUUGGGGACAACUUGAUGAAUUUUUGGUUCAAAGAUUCGGGUCUGAAUCUGGCUGAAAAAUGUCAUCAUCAAGUGUCAAAUUGGUUGCUCUUCUAGUGUGGCUGUAACAUGAUUUUUAUGGAAGAUAUGGGAUGAUAGAACCAGCUCUCAACUUAUACAGUUACCUUGUAGCAUAAAUUUGAGGUGUUUUGAUUGCUUUUAGGUAAAUAGUUGACAGCAUGUGUAUCAACAUUGAAAUGUUGCAGAAGGAAGUGUCUUUGAAGCAGAAUUUUUGUAGGAGUUUGCAGAUAAUACAAUUUUUAAAUUGUUUGAAAUAGUGAACUGCUGGUUCUAGCUAUCGAGUUGUUCUUCCACGUGCUGUUUUCAGAUGCACUCGAUUGCUUAAUCUUGAGAUAAUUGUAUUCUAGUACCAUAAACACGAUUUCAUUUUUCUUUUUGUCUGUCUUCCAUUCUUUCUUAUCUUCAUGUACUGGUUCAUAAAUUAGCCUGAAGAUAUCAUCAACUACGUUUAAUUUGCAAAA